UCGGGAAUUUUGGGCAAUGGGCGAAAGCCUGACCCAGCAACGCCGCGUGAGGGAUGAAGUAUUUCGGUAUGUAAACCUCGAAAGAAUGGGAAGAAUAAAUGACGGUACCAUUUAUAAGCUCCGGCUAACUACGUGCCAGCAGCCGCGGUAAUACGUAGGGAGCAAGUGUUGUUCGGAUUUACUGGGCGUAAAGGGCGCGUAGGCGGCGCGGUAAGUCACUUGUGAAAUCUCUGAGCUUAACUCAGAACGGCCAAGUGAUACUGCUGUGCUAGAGUGCGGAAGAGGCAACCGGAAUUCUUGGUGUAGCGGUGAAAUGCGUAGAUAUCAAGAGGAACACCUGAGGCGAAGGCGGGUUGCUGGGCCGACACUGACGCUGAUGCGCGAAAGCCAGGGGAGCAAACG
rnacentral:rRNA from 1 species